AUUGAACGCUGGCGGCAUGCCCUACACAUGCAAGUCGAACGGCAGCACGGGAGCAAUCCUGGUGGCGAGUGGCGAACGGGUGAGUAAUACAUCGGAACGUGCCCAAUCGUGGGGGAUAACGCAGCGAAAGCUGUGCUAAUACCGCAUACGAUCUACGGAUGAAAGCAGGGGACCGUAAGGCCUUGCGCGAAUGGAGCGGCCGAUGGCAGAUUAGGUAGUUGGUGAGGUAAAGGCUCACCAAGCCUUCGAUCUGUAGCUGGUCUGAGAGGACGACCAGCCACACUGGGACUGAGACACGGCCCAGACUCCUACGGGAGGCGGCAGUGGGGAAUUUUGGACAAUGGGCGAAAGCCUGAUCCAGCAAUGCCGCGUGCAGGAUGAAGGCCUUCGGGUUGUAAACUGCUUUUGUACGGAACGAAACGGCUCUUUCUAAUAACGAGAGCUAAUGACGGUACC
rnacentral:rRNA from 1 species